UACGGAGGGAGCUAGCGUUGUUCGGAAUUACUGGGCGUAAAGCGUGCGCAGGCGGUUGUGUAAGACAGAUGUGAAAUCCCCGGGCUCAACCUGGGAACUGCAUUUGUGACUGCACGGCUGGAGUGCGGCAGAGGGGGAUGGAAUUCCGCGUGUAGCAGUGAAAUGCGUAGAUAUGCGGAGGAACACCGAUGGCGAAGGCAAUCCCCUGGGCCUGCACUGACGCUCAUGCACGAAAGCGUGGGGAGCAAACAGG
rnacentral:rRNA from 1 species